GACCCCGUGAACCUUUACUAUAGCUUGACACUGAACAUUGAGCCUUGAUGUGUAGGAUAGGUGGGAGGCUUUGAAGUGUGGACGCCAGUCUGCAUGGAGCCGACCUUGAAAUACCACCCUUUAAUGUUUGAUGUUCUAACGUUGGCCCGUAAUCCGGGUUGCGGACAGUGUCUGGUGGGUAGUUUGACUGGGGCGGUCUCCUCCUAAAGAGUAACGGAGGAGCACGAAGGUUGGCUAAUCCUGGUCGGACAUCAGGAGGUUAGUGCAAUGGCAUAAGCCAGCUUGACUGCGAGCGUGACGGCGCGAGCAGGUGCGAAAGCAGGUCAUAGUGAUCCGGUGGUUCUGAAUGGAAGGGCCAUCGCUCAACGGAUAAAAGGUACUCCGGGGAUAACAGGCUGAUACCGCCCAAGAGUUCAUAUCGACGGCGGUGUUUGGCACCUCGAUGUCGGCUCAUCACAUCCUGGGGCUGAAGUAGGUCCCAAGGGUAUGGCUGUUCGCCAUUUAAAGUGGUACGCGAGCUGGGUUUAGAACGUCGUGAGACAGUUCGGUCCCUAUCUGCCGUGGGCGCUGGAGAACUGAGGGGGGCUGCUCCUAGUACGAGAGGACCGGAGUGGACGCAUCACUGGUGUUCGGGUUGUCAUGCCAAUGGCACUGCCCGGUAGCUAAAUGCGGAAGAGAUAAGUGCUGAAAGCAUCUAAGCACGAAACUUGCCCCGAGAUG
rnacentral:rRNA from 1 species